GCGGGCCGUGAGAAGCGGGAAGCCCGGAAGAAUGGGCACUUGAGACAAGGGCCCAGGUCCUACGGGGCGCAGCAGUCGCGAAAACUUUUGCAAUACACGAAAGUUGUGACAGGGUCAUCCCGAGUGCCGACCGCUGAGGUUGGCUUUUACCCAGUCUAGAAAGCUGGGGGAAUAAGGAGAGGGCAAGUCUGGUGUCAGCCGCCGCGGUAAUACCAGCUCUCCGAGUGGUAUGGACGUUUAUUGGGCCUAAAGCAUCCGUAGCUGGCUGAACAAGUCCCCUGUUAAACCCACCGAUUUAAUCGUUGGUCUGCGGGGGAUACUGCUCGGCUAGGGGACGAGAGAGGCAGACGGUAUUCCCGGGGUAGGGGUGAAUCUAUAAUCCCGGGAAGACACCAGU
rnacentral:rRNA from 1 species